UGGGGAAUAUUGGGCAAUGGGGGAAACCCUGACCCAGCAACGCCGCGUGAAGGAAGAAGGCUUUCGGGUUGUAAACUUCUUUGACGAGGGACGAAAAAAAUGACGGUACCUCGAAAACAAGCCACGGCUAACUACGUGCCAGCAGCCGCGGUAAUACGUAGGUGGCAAGCGUUGUCCGGAUUUACUGGGUGUAAAGGGCGCGUAGGCGGGAUUACAAGUCAGAUGUGAAAUGCAGGGGCUUAACCCCUGAGCUGCAUUUGAAACUGUAGUUCUUGAGUGAUGGAGAGGCAGGCGGAAUUCCUAGUGUAGCGGUGAAAUGCGUAGAUAUUAGGAGGAACACCAGUGGCGAAGGCGGCCUGCUGGACAUUAACUGACGCUGAGGCGCGAAAGCGUGGGGAGCAAACAGG
rnacentral:rRNA from 2 species